rnacentral:rRNA from 1 species
CCUGACGCAGCGACGCCGCGUGAGGGAUGAAGGCCUUCGGGUCGUAAACCUCUGUCAGGAGGGAAGAACCGCCAUGGUGCUAAUCAGCCAUGGUCUGACGGUACCUCCAAAGGAAGCACCGGCUAACUCCGUGCCAGCAGCCGCGGUAAUACGGAGGGUGCAAGCGUUAAUCGGAAUCACUGGGCGUAAAGCGCACGUAGGCUGUUUGGUAAGUCAGAGGUGAAAUCCCAGGGCUCAACCCUGGAACUGCCUUUGAUACUGGCGAUCUUGAGUAUGAGAGAGGUAUGUGGAACUCCGAGUGUAGAGGUGAAAUUCGUAGAUAUUCGGAAGAACACCAGUGGCGAAGGCGACAUACUGGCUCAUUACUGACGCUGAGGCGCGAAAGCGUGGGGAGCAAACA